UGUAAGCGUAUACCAAAGUUGUUGCAGUUAAAACGCUCGUAGUCGGAAUUUGGCAGUUCCGGAUGUGUGCACGUCGUGUGCGCACUUCGCGGGGAUUGCUUUUGUGGUCUUGCGUAGGAUGAGGCACUUUUAUUAGUGAACGUCCUUACGCAACCACUUUUUACUGUGAGAAAAUCAGAGUGCUCAAAGCAGGCAUUUGCCGUGAAUGUAUUAGCAUGGAAUAAUAGAAUAGGACUUGGUUCUAUUUUGUUGGUUUGUUGGGACUGAGUAAUGAUUAAGAGGGACAGUUGGGGGCAUUUGUAUUUCGGUGCUAGAGGUGAAAUUCUUAGAUUACCGAAAGACAAACUGCUGCGAAAGCGUCUGCCAAGGAUGUUUUCAUUGA
rnacentral:rRNA from 1 species